rnacentral:lncRNA from 1 species
GGAAAAAUUGUUCCUGACUGGUGCAUUUUUAUUUCAGCAAACAUAGAUGUUCAAAUCGAAAAGUCUGAUACACACAUAUAUAGAUACAAUGGGUCGCGCACGUGCAUAGAUGAAUCACCCUACUUUACGAUGACCACCUGGCCUUUCCUUACGACCGGAAGGGGACAAGCGAUUAGGUGGCCGGGUCACACGAAGACCGCGGCCGUACUCCAAUUCGGCUUCAUGUGUCUGCGAGUCCUGCGUAGGUGGUGGAGUCGCGAAUCCUUGUUGCGAACCUGAAGCGUAAUUGUACGCGUAUGGUUGUGACUCCGGGGGGAUAAAAGAUGGGCCAAUAACAUCCCCUCCGAAGAACUCUGUAACUAAUGAUGUAACCGUGUCGCCAAGAUCAUGUGAUGCUCCCCGGAGGCCUGUGUUGACGCCAUGAUCAUGUGAUGCUCCCCGGAGGCCUGUGUUGACGCCGCGUUGGGUGUUCUCAUCGCCCCAAUUAACAUCAGGUGUGUCCUGCACAUAGAAACAUUUUAAACAAAUUGUUAGAGGAUAAUAUAUGAUAUCAUUGUAAAUGCAUUGAAAUGUAAACAUGACUACCUGAGCAUAUCCCUCUCCUAUAAUGUCUG